rnacentral:rRNA from 1 species
UACGGAGGGGGCGAGCGUUAUUCGGAAUUAUUGGGCGUAAAGAGCUCGUAGGCGGUCUGUCGCGUCGGAUGUGAAAACCCAGGGCUCAACCCUGGGCCUGCAUUCGAUACGGGCAGACUAGAGUUCGGUAGGGGAGACUGGAAUUCCUGGUGUAGCGGUGAAAUGCGCAGAUAUCAGGAGGAACACCGGUGGCGAAGGCGGGUCUCUGGGCCGAAACUGACGCUGAGGAGCGAAAGCGUGGGGAGCAAACAGG